UUACGGUCAAAUCACGCUGAUACACCGGUUCUCGUUCGAUCACUGAAGUUAAGCAUCGUAGAGCCAGGUCAGUACUUAGAUGGGAGACCGCUUGGGAACACCUGGUACUGUAAGC
rnacentral:rRNA from 1 species